rnacentral:SRP_RNA from 1 species
GCCGGGCGCGGUGGCUCACGCCUGUAAUUCCAACACCUUGGGAGGCAGAGACAGGAGGAUCUCCUGAGCCCAGGAGUUCAAGACCAGCCUGGGCAACAUGGGGAGACUCCGUCUCUA